rnacentral:rRNA from 1 species
AGUGAACGCUGGCGGUAGGCCUAACACAUGCAAGUCGAACGGCAGCACAGUAAGAGCUUGCUCUUACGGGUGGCGAGUGGCGGACGGGUGAGGAAUACAUCGGAAUCUACUUUUUCGUGGGGGAUAACGUAGGGAAACUUACGCUAAUACCGCAUACGACCUACGGGUGAAAGCAGGGGAUCUUCGGACCUUGCGCGAUUGAAUGAGCCGAUGUCGGAUUAGCUAGUUGGCGGGGUAAAGGCCCACCAAGGCGACGAUCCGUAGCUGGUCUGAGAGGAUGACCAGCCACACUGGAACUGAGACACGGUCCAGACCCCUACGGGAGGCAGCAGUGGGGAAUAUUGGACAAUGGGCGCAAGCCUGAUCCAGCCAUACCGCGUGGGUGAAGAAGGCCUUCGGGUUGUAAAGCCCUUUUGUUGGGAAAGAAAAGCAGCAGGUUAAUACCCCGCUGUUCUGACGGUACCCAAAGAAUAAGCACCGGCUAACUUCGUG